rnacentral:misc_RNA from 1 species
UCCGAGUUGACCCCGGCAGUCUUCGAUGAGUCCCCGGCAUAACCCGCUGGCAACAUCGAACGAGGGUUGCGCUCGUUACGGGACUUAACCCAACCUCUCACGACACGAGCUGACGACAGCCAUGCAGCACCUCCACAGCAGUUCUUGCGAAAAGGGAUAUUUCUACCCCGGUCCACUGUGCUUCGAGCCCAGGUAAGGUUCUUCGCGUUGCGUCGAAUUGAACCACAUGCUCCACCGCUUGUGCGGGCCCCCGUCAAUUCCUUUGAGUUUUAGCCUUGCGGCCGUACUCCCCAGGCGGGGUGCUUAAUGCGUUAGCUGCGGCGCGGACGGAGUCGACACCGCCCACACCUAGCACCCAUCGUUUACAGCGUGGACUAC